rnacentral:rRNA from 1 species
UACAGAGGGUGCGAGCGUUGUUCGGAAUUAUUGGGCGUAAAGGGCGCGUAGGCGGUGCGGUAAGUCACCUGUGAAAUCUCCUGGCUCAACUGGGAGCUUGCAGGCGAAACUGCCGUGCUGGAGUGUGGGAGAGGUGCGUGGAAUUCCUGGUGUAGCGGUGAAAUGCGUAGAUAUCAGGAGGAACACCAGUGGCGAAGGCGGCUAUCUGGGCUGCAACUGACGCUGAGGCGCGAAGGCUAGGGUAGCAAACAGG